rnacentral:misc_RNA from 1 species
AACGCACCUUGCGCUCUGUGGUAUUCCGCAGAGCAUGCCUGUCUGAGUGUCGCGCCCCCUCUCCUUAUCACUCUUUUAUUGAAAGAGUCGAACAAGGGAUCAUGCUCUCUCUUCUUUCAUUAGAAGUAGGGCGAAAUAAACGAGCUAUCUCUGGAAAGCACAGCAAUUGUACACACCUUUGCCGCACUCUUCCAAAUGAGCUGUAGCUAAGAAUCAUCAAUGAUUGUGACCUCAGAUCAGGCAGGACGACCCGCUGAACUUAA